GGUUGGUGAAAAUACGAUGAAGACAAACACUAGAGCAUCGGGGAUUCAGUUCGGAUAAAUGAGUAGAAAUUGCACUUGAUCUUUAAUUUAACUCAUAUGAAAAUCAACUAAGGAGUGAUCUCAUAUGGAAGAUAAAACAUUAACCACAAAUAUACUAAAAGAUAGAUCUUGAUAAUUGUUUGAGAGAAUAUGUCAAAAUAAGUUGUUGGUAUGUAGAGAUUAUCUAAGCAUUUAUUGUGCCAAAAUUGUCAACAAUAAAUCAAAGUCUUUAACAAACCAAAACCAUUUGUAG
rnacentral:lncRNA from 1 species